rnacentral:rRNA from 1 species
CACGGGGGGCGCAAGCGUUGUUCGGAAUCACUGGGCGUAAAGGGCGUGUAGGCGGUCAGGUAAGUGGGACGUGAAAUGCCUCGGCUCACCCGAGGAGCGGCGUCCCAUACUGCUUGGCUUGAGUACGGGAGAGGAUGUGGGAAUUCCUGGUGUAGCGGUGAAAUGCGUAGAUAUCAGGAGGAACACCGGUGGCGAAGGCGCACAUCUGGCCCGAUACUGACGCUGAGGCGCGAAAGCUAGGGGAGCAAACGGG